GGAUGUCAGGACAAUCUGGCUGUGACAUCUGUCAUCCCAUUGGUCACCAGGGUUGAUUUAGCUGAUCUGUCUGGCUAGGCUAGUGUCCCUUCCUCGCCAUUCUGUGUUCAGUCAAAGAGGAUGAGUUUCUCCAUAUCAGGGAGGUCGGGUGCUCAGUCAUGGGUAUACGAUAGCCACACUCCCCAUUGCCAGGACUUCCAGACAAGCUCUCAAAGCCUUGUGUGUGAAGUCUUUUAGAAGAUUUAUUUUAUUUAGUUUGUGCAUGUGAGUGUUUUCUUGCACCUGAAACU
ensembl:misc_RNA 7SK 7SK RNA